rnacentral:rRNA from 1 species
AUUGAACGCUGGCGGCAUGCUUUACACAUGCAAGUCGAACGGCAGCGCGGGCUUCGGCCUGGCGGCGAGUGGCGAACGGGUGAGUAAUGCAUCGGAACGUGACCAGCAGUGGGGGAUAGCACGGCGAAAGCCGGAUUAAUACCGCAUACGACCUGAGGGUGAAAGCGGGGGACCGAAAGGCCUCGCGCGAUUGGAGCGGCCGAAGUCGGAUUAGCUAGUUGGUGGGGUAAAGGCUUACCAAGGCGACGAUCCGUAGCUGGUCUGAGAGGACGACCAGCCACACUGGGACUGAGACACGGCCCAGACUCCUACGGGAGGCAGCAGUGGGGAAUUUUGGACAAUGGGGGCAACCCUGAUCCAGCCAUGCCGCGUGCGGGAAGAAGGCCUUCGGGUUGUAAACCGCUUUUGUUCGGGAAGAAAUCCUCUGGGCUAAUACCCCGGGGGGAUGACGGUACCGGAAGAAUAAGCACCGGCUAACUACGUG